rnacentral:rRNA from 1 species
CACGUAGGGUGCGAGCGUUGUCCGGAAUUAUUGGGCGUAAAGAGCUCGUAGGCGGUGUGUCGCGUCGGCCGUGAAAACCUGUAGCUUAACUGUGGGCUUGCGGUCGAUACGGGCAUCACUGGAGUUCGGCAGGGGAGACUGGAAUUCCUGGUGUAGCGGUGAAAUGCGCAGAUAUCAGGAGGAACACCGGUGGCGAAGGCGGCAUCCUGGACCGGUAUUGACGCUGAGGCGCGAAAGCUAGGGGAGCAAACGGG